UUUGGCACUUGCACAUACUUGCU
rnacentral:miRNA from 1 species